GAUGAACGCUGGCGGCGUGCCUAAUACAUGCAAGUCGAGCGAACGGACGAGAAGCUUGCUUCUCUGAUGUUAGCGGCGGACGGGUGAGUAACACGUGGAUAACCUACCUAUAAGACUGGGAUAACUUCGGGAAACCGGAGCUAAUACCGGAUAAUAUUUUGAACCGCAUGGUUCAAAAGUGAAAGACGGUCUUGCUGUCACUUAUAGAUGGAUCCGCGCUGCAUUAGCUAGUUGGUAAGGUAACGGCUUACCAAGGCAACGAUGCAUAGCCGACCUGAGAGGGUGAUCGGCCACACUGGAACUGAGACACGGUCCAGACUCCUACGGGAGGCAGCAGUAGGGAAUCUUCCGCAAUGGGCGAAAGCCUGACGGAGCAACGCCGCGUGAGUGAUGAAGGUCUUCGGAUCGUANAACUCUGUUAUUAGGGAAGAACAUAUGUGUAAGUAACUGUGCACAUCUUGACGGUACCUAAUCAGAAAGCCACGGCUAACUACGUGCCAGCAGCCGCGGUAAUACGUAGGUGGCAAGCGUUAUCCGGAAUUAUUGGGCGUAAAGCGCGCGUAGGCGGUUUUUUAAGUCUGAUGUGAAAGCCCACGGCUCAACCGUGGAGGGUCAUUGGGAACUGGAAAACUUGAGUGCAGAAGAGGAAAGUGGAAUUCCAUGUGUAGCGGUGAAAUGCGCAGAGAUAUGGAGGAACACCAGUGGCGAAGGCGACUUUCUGGUCUGUAACUGACGCUGAUGUGCGAAAGCGUGGGGAUCAAACAGGAUUAGAUACCCUGGUAGUCCACGCCGUAAACGAUGAGUGCUAAGUGUUAGGGGGUUUCCGCCCCUUAGUGCUGCAGCUAACGCAUUAAGCACUCCGCCUGGGGAGUACGACCGCAAGGUUGAAACUCAAAGGAAUUGACGGGGACCCGCACAAGCGGUGGAGCAUGUGGUUUAAUUCGAAGCAACGCGAAGAACCUUACCAAAUCUUGACAUCCUUUGACAACUCUAGAGAUAGAGCCUUCCCCUUCGGGGGACAAAGUGACAGGUGGUGCAUGGUUGUCGUCAGCUCGUGUCGUGAGAUGUUGGGUUAAGUCCCGCAACGAGCGCAACCCUUAAGCUUAGUUGCCAUCAUUAAGUUGGGCACUCUAAGUUGACUGCCGGUGACAAACCGGAGGAAGGUGGGGAUGACGUCAAAUCAUCAUGCCCCUUAUGAUUUGGGCUACACACGUGCUACAAUGGACAAUACAAAGGGCAGCGAAACCGCGAGGUCAAGCAAAUCCCAUAAAGUUGUUCUCAGUUCGGAUUGUAGUCUGCAACUCGACUACAUGAAGCUGGAAUCGCUAGUAAUCGUAGAUCAGCAUGCUACGGUGAAUACGUUCCCGGGUCU
rnacentral:rRNA from 1 species